rnacentral:rRNA from 1 species
CAGCAGCCGCGGUAACACGAAGGGGGCUAGCGUUGUUCGGAUUAACUGGGCGUAAAGGGCGCGUAGGCGGGUUUUUAAGUCAGAGGUGAAAUCCCAAGGCUCAGCCUUGGAACUGCCUUUGAUACUGGAAGUCUUGAGUCCGGGAGAGGUGAGUGGAACUGCGAGUGUAGAGGUGAGAUUCGUAGAUAUUCGCAAGAACACCAGUGGCGAAGGCGGCUCACUGGCCCGGUACUGACGCUGAGGCGCGAAAGCGUGGGGAGCAAACAGGAUUAGAUACCCCAGUAGUCCCUGUCUCUUAUAC